rnacentral:rRNA from 1 species
GACGAACGCUGGCGGCGUGCUUAACACAUGCAAGUCGAACGGAAAGGCCCUGCUUUUUUUGUUUUCUCGUUUGGCGAUCGGGUGAGUAACACGUGUGUUACCUUCCCUUUACUUUGUUAUAUCUUCUGGUAACUUGUUCUAAUACCUGAUAUGAUCUCCUGCUGCAUUGUGUUGGUUGGUAUGUUUCGUCGGUUGGGGAUGGACUCGCGGCUUAUCAGCUUGUUGGUGGGGUAGUGGCUUACCAAGGCUUUGACGGGUAGCCGGCCUGAGAGGGUGACAGGCAAAAUUGGGACUGAGAUAGGGACCAGAAUGCUACGGGAGGCAGCAGUGGGGAAUAUUGCAAAAUGGGAGGAAGCAUGAUGAAGCAAAGCAGCGUGCGGGAUGAAGGCCUUCGGGUUGUAAACCGAAUUAGAAUGUGAAGAAGAGUGAGUGACGGUAAUGGGUAAAGAAGCAACGGCUAACUACGUG